UACGUAGGGGGCGAGCGUUAUCCGGAUUUACUGGGCGUAAAGCGCGUUAAGGCGGUUGGCAAAGUUGGUUGUGAAAUCUCAGGGCUCAACCCUGAAAUUGCGACCAAUACUGGUCGACUAGAGUGUGAGAGAGGAAGGUGGAAUUCCAGGUGUAGUAGUGAAAUGCGUAGAUAUCGGGAGGAACACCAGUGGCGAAGGCGGCCUUCUGGCUCAUAACUGACGCUGUAGCGCGAAAGCGUGGGGAGCGAACCGG
rnacentral:rRNA from 1 species